rnacentral:rRNA from 1 species
AGAUGGGCCCGCGUACCAUUAGCUUGUUGGUGGGGUAAUGGCCUACCAAGGCGACGAUGGUUAGCUGGUCUGAGAGGAUGAUCAGCCACACUGGAACUGACACACGGUCCAGACUCCUACGGGAGGCAGCAGUGAGGAAUUUUGCGCAAUGGGGGAAACCCUGACGCAGCAACGCCGCGUGAGUGAUGAAGGCUUUCGGGUCGUAAAGCUCUGUCAAGUGGGAAGAACCUAUAUAAUGAUAAUACCAUUAUAUAUUGACGGUACCACUGAAGGAAGCACCGGCUAACUCCGUGCCAGCAGCCGCGGUAAUACGGGGGGUGCAAGCGUUAUUCGGAAUCAUUGGGCGUAAAGAGCACGUAGGCGGCCUGAUAAGUCAGAUGUGAAAGCCCGGGGCUUAACCCCGGAAGUGCAUUUGAUACUGUCAGGCUUGAGUAUGGGAGAGGGAAGUGGAAUUCCUGGUGUAGAGGUGAAAUUCGUAGAUAUCAGGAGGAACACCGGUGGCGAAGGCGACUUCCUGGACCAAUACUGACGCUGAGGUGCGAAGGCGUGGGUAGCAAACAGGAUUAGAUACCCUGGUAGUCCACGCAGUAAACGUUGUUCACUAGGUGUAGCGGGUAUUGACCCCUGCUGUGCCGCAGUUAACGCAUUAA